GCUCGAUCCAGAGAGUUCAGACGGCCGUUACGAUAUAAACGAUCUCCGUCAAUGAACGCGAUUGGAUUUAACUUUUUUAGGUGUCCUUAGCUCUGCCAGAAUGCUAAACGAAGACGAAAAUGUGUUGCAAAGACAUCCAAAAGGUUUUAAGGAGAAUGCAACAGGUUCCAGGGCCUCUUACCUGCGUGAUUCAUCAUCCAGGUUUUGCACAAAUUGUCUAAAUCCCUACACACAGAACAUUUAUCGUACCGACUAUAAGCCUUUGAGGUGCAGGACUAGAAUAUGCUUGGAGCUUCCUGAUCAGAUCGGUCACAAUUUUGGCUUUCGACGACCCCUGCACUGAAGAUGGCAUGCAAUCACGUCCUCCUUUGAAGGUCUCUCAAACUGUGAUGCCAGGUCCAUUGGAAUCGGG